rnacentral:rRNA from 1 species
GCAAGUCGAACGGGGCCGACCAUUUUUGUAAGCGAUUAGCUUGCUAAGAGUGGAAAGUGUUGGCGGCGUUAGUGGCGGACGGGUGAGUAACGCGUGGGUAACCGUGCCAUAUACAGGGGAUAACACUUAGAAAUAGGUGCUAAUACCGCAUAAGCGCACGGAGCUGCAUGGCUCAGUGUGAAAAACUCCGGUGGUAUAUGAUGGACCCGCGUCUGAUUAGCUUGUUGGCGGGGUAACGGGCCCGACCCAAGGCGACGAUCAGUAGCCGGCCUGACCGAGGGUGGACGGCCACAUUGGGACUGAGACACGGCCCAAACUCCUACGGGAGGCAGCAGUGGGGAAUAUUGGACAAUGGGGGGAACCCUGAUCCAGCGACGCCGCGUGAGUGAAGAAGUAUCUCGGUAUGUAAAGCUCUAUCAGCAGGGAAGAAAGAAAUGACGGUACCUGACCAAGAAGCCCCGGCUAACUACGUG